rnacentral:rRNA from 1 species
UACGAAGGGGGCUAGCGUUGUUCGGAAUCACUGGGCGUAAAGGGUGCGUAGGCGGGCUUUUAAGUCAGGGGUGAAAUCCUGGAGCUCAACUCCAGAACUGCCUUUGAUACUGAAGAUCUUGAGUCCGGGAGAGGUGAGUGGAACUGCGAGUGUAGAGGUGAAAUUCGUAGAUAUUCGCAAGAACACCAGUGGCGAAGGCGGCUCACUGGCCCGGUACUGACGCUGAGGUGCGAAAGCGUGGGGAGCAAACAGG